rnacentral:rRNA from 1 species
UACAGAGGUGGCAAGCGUUGUUCGGAAUUACUGGGCGUAAAGGGCGCGUAGGCGGUUCGGUAAGUCCUGUGUGAAAUCCCUCGGCUCAACUGAGGAACUGCACGGGAGACUGCCGGGCUUGAGUUCGGGAGAGGGAAGCGGAAUUCCGGGUGUAGCGGUGAAACGCGUAGAUAUCCGGAGGAACACCGGUGGCGAAGGCGGCUUCCUGGACCGACACUGACGCUGAGGCACGAAAGUGUGGGGAUCAAACAGG